ACCAAGGAUUGGCUACAAACCACACAAAUUAGUUUAUACAUCAGGUACUUUCUCAAUUUUAUUACUUAUUGUGGUAUUUAUUUAAUUUUAGUUGUGAAUGAUUCUAUUUGUUUUCAUUUUAGGUACUUAUAUCAUACUUUUGUGGUGCCGGGCUCAUUGAUAACAAAAUUUUCAUUUAUUAGCCCGCACAACACUAGUACCUACAGUGUUGAGUACCAUUCUCAAAAGAUUACUGAUGCAUUCAAAGCCAAAGGCAAAAGAAACAUGUUAUUUUUAGCUCCUCACAAUCCAGGGCAACAUUGGGUGCUUGUUUGUAUCAAUCCAUUCGUCCCUGUGAUUUAUUAUCUUGAUUCAUUAAGAGAUAGUGACUUUAAGAACUACAAAUCUAUGAGAAUAUUAUUUAAUCAGUAAGUUUUUAGUUCUAUAUUCUUUAUAUAUGUUUAUUAUAACAAUUAAUUUUUACUUGGUAUGCUUAAUCAUUAUAUAAUAGGGCUGUAGCACGUUAUCGAGGAGGUGAAGGUCUCCCUCCAAACACCAAAAGACCUGAUCCUGUUGAGUUUUAUUCAUGGAAAAGAAUAAAGGUACCUACACAAUUACAAGGUUGGGAGUGUGGAUACUAUGUUAUGAAGUUUAUGAGAGAAGUAAUCACACAACAAGAGUUGAUCAUUCCUGAAAAUUAUUUUGUUGGAGCAAGAUAUUCGCAUUUUACUAUGGAGCAAAUAGAAGAUUUAGUUGAAGAAUGGUCAGAAUAUAUUAUUGGCUGUUUGUGAUAGGAAGUUAGAUUUCAAUGUUAAAAAAAUAACAAUAGUUUCAUUUGUUAGGCUUGUUAGAAAUUAAACUAGGUUAGUUAGAAAAUUGAAAUUGUUGUAUCAGUUUCAAAUUCUUUUCUUGUAUAUAAAUUUUUAUGUUGAUAUUAUUUUUAAAUUAGUUUUUGAUAUUAUGAUUUGCCAUUGUUAAAGAUAUGUAAAAGGAGAAAUUUGAAAAAUUUGAUUUAAAAAAAAUUAAAUAUAAUAUACGGGAGCGCUCAUUUAAAGAGCGCUC